UACGGAGGGAGCUAGCGUUGUUCGGAAUUACUGGGCGUAGAGCGCACGUAGGCGGCUACUCAAGUCAGAGGUGAAAGCCCAGGGCUCAACCUUGGAACUGCCUUUGAAACUAGGUAGCUAGAAUUCUGGAGAGGUCAGUGGAAUUCCGAGUGUAGAGGUGAAAUUCGUAGAUAUUCGGAAGAACACCAGUGGCGAAGGCGACUGACUGGACAGAUAUUGACGCUGAGGUGCGAAAGCGUGGGGAGCAAACAGG
rnacentral:rRNA from 1 species